rnacentral:rRNA from 1 species
UACGUAGGGUGCAAGCGUUGUCCGGAAUUAUUGGGCGUAAAGAGCUCGUAGGCGGUUUGUCGCGUCGGCUGUGAAAACUCGGGGCUUAACCCCGGGCCUGCAGUGGGUACGGGCAGACUAGAAUGCGGUAGGGGAGACUGGAAUUCCUGGUGUAGCGGUGAAAUGCGCAGAUAUCAGGAGGAACACCGGUGGCGAAGGCGGGUCUCUGGGCCGUAACUGACGCUGAGGAGCGAAAGCGUGGGGAGCGAACAGG